rnacentral:lncRNA from 1 species
CACUUCCGCUGGCCACAGAUGUUUGGAGGGCUAAAGGGCUUGUGGACAGUUUGGCUUUUUUCCCCCACCCUUAUCUUGAGCUCUCCUCCUUGCAAAAUAAAGUAAUAAAUAAGUAAGGCUCCCUAGAAUCAUGAGACCUAGAGAUGGAAGGUGUACCCCAGCAUCUUGACCAAUGAUCAAACCAGAUCAUCAACAUAAAAUGCCUGAGGUCAGGAAUGUCAGCACCUAUGGCUAAAACUCUAGAUCUUCAAGAUGUGACAGGUCCUUCUGAGUACACUGCAUCCUUCUGAGGACUGUGAUGGCCACACUCAUAGUCUGUUGUCUUGUUCACUGUUUAUUAUCACCAGAUACCGGGUAACAGCUUGGCAGAGAUAUUACAGAGUAAUUUUAACUGCAGAUAACUGGGUAGAAUAGAAAUGCUUUAAAGUCCCUCCCUAGGCUGAGAUCCUACCACGUGAUUGCCUUACCUUCCUACUUUACUUCCCCACAUCCCACUCCCAUUAGCAGAUGCUAGGAUCAAGGAGGUAUAAGUGGAUGAUGUUCAAGUCAGACAUGGAGCAAAGAAUCGUCCAUCCAUCCCCCCCUCCCCAAUCCGUCCCCCUUUUCCUCUGGUAAAAAGUCACACUGGUAACAAAAGUUCAAGGUAAGGGUCUGCUUACUGGUGCUUUGCUCCUGUUGAGAUAUGCUCCUGUGAAGUGUGAUCCAUAGCUAAACAGUGUUCUCUGAACCGCUUCUCUAAAUACAGGACAUUAUCAAAUUGCCAUUUUUCACCCAGCAGUACAGGCCACCAGAUUCUUUCCUAGUCCAGAGACUUUGGAGUAGAGGCAAAAAAUGGGAUGAUCUUAAUCACGUGACUGUGUGGGGCACGGUGUCUGCUUGGCUCCCCUAAGAGUGAAGAAACAAUAGAGUUCCUUAUGCAGACUGUUUCCAACAUGAAGCUCCUCAAACGAGAGCUCUUCCAGAAAAGACCCCUGAACUACACUGGACAUGAAUUAAAUUCCAUCUAUUGGACCUCAAUUCAUAACUACUUGAGAGAAAACUCAAGUUGACCAAGAAUGCACUUUUGCUUGGAUGGUGUUCCUUCUGGAUGAUGCAUUAUUAGGAAGAAGGACUUGAUGUCUACCUUUCACCCAGCAAUUGCUUAUUGGAGAAAAAAUUGGCAUCAAAUAAAAAGGAAAGCACUACAAAUUUUUU